UACGGAAGGCAGCAGUGGGGAAUAUUGCACAAUGGGCGCAAGCCUGAUGCAGCCAUGCCGCGUGUAUGAAGAAGGCCUUCGGGUUGUAAAGUACUUUCAGUCGUGAGGAAGGUGUUAAGGUUAAUAACCUUAGCAAUUGACGUUAGCGACAGAAGAAGCACCGGCUAACUCCGUGCCAGCAGCCGCGGUAAUACGGAGGGUGCGAGCGUUAAUCGGAAUUACUGGGCGUAAAGGGCACGCAGGCGGUUAAUUAAGUUGGAUGUGAAAUCCCCGGGCUUAACCUGGGAAUGGCAUUCAAGACUGGCUAGCUAGAGUCUUGUAGAGGGGGUAGAAUUCCAUGUGUAGCGGUGAAAUGCGUAGAGAUGUGGAGGAAUACCGGUGGCGAAGGCGGCCCCUGGGACAAAGACUGACGCUCAUGUGCGAAAGCGUGGGGAGCAAACAGGAUUAGAUACC
rnacentral:rRNA from 1 species